AUUGAACGCUGGUGGCAAGCUUAACACAUGCAAGUCGAGCGGAGAGAGGUAGCUUGCUACUGAUCUUAGCGGCGGACGGGUGAGUAAUGCUUAGGAAUCUGCCUAUUAGUGGGGGACAACAUUUCGAAAGGAAUGCUAAUACCGCAUACGUCCUACGGGAGAAAGCAGGGGAUCUUCGGACCUUGCGCUAAUAGAUGAGCCUAAGUCGGAUUAGCUAGUUGGUGGGGUAAAGGCCUACCAAGGCGACGAUCUGUAGCGGGUCUGAGAGGAUGAUCCGCCACACUGGGACUGAAACACGGCCCAGACUCCUACGGGAGGCAGCAGUGGGGAAUAUUGGACAAUGGGCGGAAGCCUGAUCCAGCCAUGCCGCGUGUGUGAAGAAGGCCUUUUGGUUGUAAAGCACUUUAAGCGAGGAGGAGGCUCUUAAGGUUAAUACCCUUGAUGAGUGGACGUUACUCGCAGAAUAAGCACCGGCUAACUCUGUGCCAGCCGCCGCAGUAAGAC
rnacentral:rRNA from 1 species